AUUGAACGCUGGCGGAAUGCUUUACACAUGCAAGUCGAACGGCAGCACGGACUUCGGUCUGGUGGCGAGUGGCGAACGGGUGAGUAAUGUAUCGGAACGUGCCCAGUCGUGGGGGAUAACGUAGUGAAAAUUACGCUAAUACCGCAUACGAUCUAUGGAUGAAAGCGGGGAUCGCAAGACCUCGCGCGAUUGGAGCGGCCGAUAUCAGAUUAGGUAGUUGGUGGGGUAAAGGCCCACCAAGCCAACGAUCUGUAGCUGGUCUGAGAGGACGACCGGCCACACUGGAACUGAGACACGGUCCAGACUCCUACGGGAGGCAGCAGUGGGGAAUUUUGGACAAUGGGCGAAAGCCUGAUCCAGCCAUUCCGCGUGCAGGAUGAAGGCUCUCGGGUUGUAAACUGCUUUUGUACAGAACGAAAAGGUUUCUACUAAUACUAGGAGCUCAUGACGGUACUGUAAGAAUAAGCACCGGCUAACUACGUGCCAGCCGCCGCUGUAA
rnacentral:rRNA from 1 species